CCUACGGGUGGCAGCAGUGAGGAAUAUUGGUCAAUGGGCGCGAGCCUGAACCAGCCAAGUCGCGUGAGGGAAGACGGUCCUAUGGAUUUUAACCCUCUUUUGUCGGGGAGCAAAAGACGCCACGCGUGGCGUUCCGAGAGUACCCGAAGAAAAAGCAUCGGCUAACUCCGUGCCAGCAGCCGCGUUAAUACGGAGGAUGCGAGCGUUAUCCGGAUUUAUUGGGUUUACAGGGUGUGCAGGCGGAAGAUCAAGUCAGCGGUAAAAUUGAGAGGCUCAACCUCUUCGAGCCGUUGAAACUGGUUUUCUGGAGUGAGCGAGAAGUAUGCGGAAUGCGUGGUGUAGCGGUGAAAUGCAUAGAUAUCACGCAGAACUCCGAUUGCGAAGGCAGCAUACCGGCGCUCAACUGACGCUCAUGCACGAAAGUGUGGGUAUCGAACAGGAUUAGAUACCCUUGUAGUC
rnacentral:rRNA from 1 species